ACGGGACGACAUACUACGGGUA
rnacentral:siRNA from 1 species